UAGGGAAUAUUGGACAAUGGGCGAAAGCCUGAUCCAGCAACGCCGCGUGCGCGAUGAAGGCCUUCGGGUUGUAAAGCGCUUUUCGGGGGGAUGAGGAAGGACAGUACCCCCGGAAUAAGUCUCGGCUAACUACGUGCCAGCAGCCGCGGUAAAACGUAGGAGGCAAGCGUUAUCCGGAUUUACUGGGCGUAAAGCGCGUGCAGGCGGUUCGGUAAGUCGGACGUGAAAGCUCCUGGCUCAACUGGGAGAGGCCGUUCGAUACUACCGAACUAGAGGGCAGGAGAGGGAGGUGGAAUUCCGGGUGUAGCGGUGAAAUGCGUAGAUAUCCGGAGGAACACCAGUGGCGAAGGCGGCCUCCUAGUCUGCCCCUGACGCUCAGACGCGAAAGCUAGGGGAGCGAACGGGAUUAGAACCCCCGGUAGUCCUAGCUGUAAACGAUGCGGACUUGGUGUGGGUGGCUUAAACUCCAUCCGUGCCGUAGCUAACGCGAUAAGUCCGCCGCCUGGGGACUACGACCGCAAGGUUA
rnacentral:rRNA from 1 species